AGGAUCCCAGUAUGGAGUUUUUCUGCACACAACCCAAGAUCUCUGCUUCUCAUAAAACCCACCAGCCAAGUAUUGACUGAUUCUGUCAGAGGGUUCCUUCUACUCAGGAACAUCAGAAAAGCAUUCAUGAGAGAUCUGAGACUUGUAUGCUUCAGGUGAUGACCAUUUGUCAAAUAAUAGCAAGAAUGUCUUGGAUGAUCUUGGUUAUUUCCAUCCACCAUGAGGAUGCAAAGGAACUACCUAUGACAUUUCCUCUUACUUAUAUUGCAAACGCUGCUGAGAAUAUCACCCUUUUUCUGUCCUGCAA
rnacentral:lncRNA from 1 species